UCAGACGGUGGGCGGAUAUCGUUCAUUUACCCAUUAAACCACAAUCUAUUCCUUUGAGGAAAUACAGUUUUAUGUAACGGUUUUGUUUCAGUGAGUGACACAAGAGUGUUUUGAACAAUAUUUCCAAGAAAAAUCAUCACCAAAGUUUCUUCCCAAAUAAAAUUUUUUACACCGACCUACAAAAAAAAUGUGUUUAUCAAGAUCUUAAAAUAUUGAUCUACGUACAGAACAGAAAGACACACAAAAGUUUGAUGAAACACAAAAAACACGUAAAGUAAAACAUUAACUAAAACAAAACAAUAAAACACCUGUUGGGGGAGUAGUCCUUGACUGAUGAAACUGGCUUGAAAACAAAAUAACAGGAACUAGCCAAGGCAUGCAGCUUGACGGUUUUGGCAACUCAAUUUUGCAUGCCAUUUACAGGUAUGAUGUACCUUCGUAACUGUCAAAAAGAGAAACAAAAGAAUACUAAUUAGUGUUUCUGUUUCAUUCGAAAAUUUGUAAAAUACAGAUUAAUCAGCGACGGAGGUAAACACAUCCCCUUACAGACGAGAAUAUGUUAACCUAAUUCUGUUUUUCACCGGGAGAAUCACCCUUUGCUGACGCAAAUACUUAACUUCGUCCGUCACUCUACACAACGAAGCAGUACAAUAGCAGCCAACAGCUCAAACGGCAAUAAAGCGACCUUUUAAAAGCUGAAGAUACAAAGACAAAUGCUUUGGGAAGAACAGUAAACGGAACGUGACUUCGUCUCACAAGUAAACAAAACAACGAAAACGAAUGCUUGAUUUGAGAACCAAUAUGUUAGUUCUAUUUGAUGCUUCAGCUUCCUUUCUGCACAGUUACUAUAAAGAUCAUAGACGAAAUUGAUAACUUCAAGGACGAUGAUAAAGUUUAAAAACAAAGAAGGACACUGUAAGACUACGGUUCCAAUAACAAAAACAAAAAACAAG